GGUCAAUGAUGUAAUGUAAAAGGUCUGAUGACCAGUUCCACUGCCUGCUAUCCAUUGGCUCCUAACAGCCCCUGCUCUAUUCCCAGCCUGCUCUAGUUGUGCAUUGUUGGACACAUGGGCUGCUGACAUAGAGAAUGACGUCACAUCCUGUGUCUUUAAGAGGCCAUGGAGUCACUGUGGUUCUGUUGGACGUCCGUCAAUCACUAAGGAGUAUCAGGAUGUGGUAUGGGGCUGGGCCGCUGAUCUCAACUUUUGAACUGAGACC
ensembl:scaRNA